rnacentral:rRNA from 1 species
AUGAAACCAUUAAUCCAGUCUGAUGUGCCAGUUGAUAAUAAUAAGAAGAUCUGGAAAAUAAAGAUACCUCUUAAGAAUAAAAUCUUUGCAUGAUAUCUUCGUCACGGAGUCAUUCUUACUAAAGAUAACCUUAUUAAGAGGAAUUGGCAUGGAAGUCCGCAAUGUAUCUUUUGUCAUCAUGAGGAGAUAAUAAAACAUUUGUUCUUCUAAUGCAAAUUAGCUCGUUCUAUACGGUCAGUCAUCCAAAUAGUUCCUGGCUUGUAUCCUCCCAGUAGUGUUGCUAAUUUGGCAUCUGGUUACAUGUGA